AUCUUAACUCUCUAGUAUGAUGAUCCUAAUGCCACAAUAUCAAGUAUUCUUGAUGAAGUCAGAAAAUUUGGUCACCCUAUUGACUUUCCUCCAUCCAAGUUAAAACCAGGCUGGGGAGAACAUUGUAUUUAUAUUCUUGACAGACUGGCAGACGAGGCACUCAAAAGUAUUGGAUUUUCAUGGAAACGGCCACAGUACCCUGAAGAAGAAAUGGAUGAGGAAAAUAUUGUUGAGGAUGAUUCAGAACUAACAUUGAAUGAAAUUGAGAAAUCUAUGGCAUUGGCGCACUCUGAUGUGGAAGAAGCUGAUGAUGAUGAGCCUAUAUUAGAUUUGGAGGGAAUGAAAAGACUAAAUCAGAACAAAGUGAGUAGAGCUUCAUUGUCAGUGUACCAAAUAUAAUUUACAUAACUAUAUUAAACUCUAUCACUUAACUAAAGUGAACU
rnacentral:sRNA from 1 species